UGAACGCUGGCGGCGUGCUUAACACAUGCAAGUCGUACGAGAACUCUUCUGCUUGCAGAAGAUAGUAAAGUGGCGCACGGGUGAGUAACGCGUGGGUAAUCUACCUCUAACUCGGGGAUAACAUCGCGAAAGUGAUGCUAAUACCGGAUAAUAUCUAAUUUGCUUCGGCAGUUUAGGUCAAGGGUGGCCUCUAUAUAUAAGCUACUGAUUGGAGAUGAGCCCGCGUACCAUUAGCUUGUUGGUAGGGUAAUGGCCUACCAAGGCUACGAUGGUUAGCUGGUCUGAGAGGAUGAUCAGCCACACUGGAACUGACACACGGUCCAGACUCCUACGGGAGGCAGCAGUGAGGAAUUUUGCGCAAUGGGGGAAACCCUGACGCAGCAACGCCGCGUGAGUGAUGAAGGCUUUCGGGUCGUAAAGCUCUGUCAAGUGGGAAGAACAAUCUUGAUGCUAAUACCAUCAUGAACUGACGGUACCACUGAAGGAAGCACCGGCUAACUCC
rnacentral:rRNA from 1 species